UCAGAAUGGGCAGGACUACUCAAGACAGUGCAGGAGUUUGGCCCACGGGAGAGGAAACAGAGCGUACAAAGGCACUGGGGCAACAGCAAAGAUGAGCUGAGUGGUUUCCUUGGCUGGAGAACAGGGCUCACAGGAGGAGACCCAGCGCUGGAGUGGAUACUUGGACGCCAUUUUGACGUGUUUGUGACUUUAUCACAUUCUCAUCAAAGGCCCCAAGAGUCCAGAUGAGGCAGCUAUGGCUUAGGUUGGUUUGCUGAUGGGAGGCAAUGUCGUGCCAUGGUUUAAAAGGCUGGAGAAUCAGUUUACUGUGUUCAAAUCCCAGAUCUGUGUCUCCUACACAGAUACACAGGGACCUGGCUAAAUUCUGUCACUUUUCUUGGCUUUGUUUUCCUCAUCUGUAAAAUGGGGAUAAUGGUCGCAGAGAUCUGCAACUCAGAGUUAUGGGGAGAAGCAAAUCACACACUUCACUGCCUGUGUCCUGUUUUUGAAGUACCUGAAACGCAUGCUUAAGUCACCAUUUGUAAAUGAAGAAACAUGAGGCCUCGGGCACAUGCUUAUCACACAGAUCACCACUGCCAUGAUCGCCCUUCUCAGCAUUGCUGCCGUCCCGAGCGUCAUCAUCACCAUCAUCACCCCCAGAGUCAUCACCCCCAGCGUCAUCAUCACCAUCAUCACCCCCAGAGUCAUCACCACCGAGCGUCGUCAUCACCAUCAUCACCCCCAGAGUCAUCACCACCGUUGUCACUGCCCUCGUUUUCCUCACCGCCAUCAUUAACCCCUACUCUCUUCAGUGUCUCCGAGUCCAGAAUGACUCAGAGACAGAGUCACAUUUUCAACCCCUAUAGAUGGGAGCCUGAGCCUCACAGAGGGGACAGCCCUUGUCCAAAGUCUGAGCCUGUGUUUGUGCCUGCGUCCCCAACAGGGAGUGACUCUGCACUGAUGUCCAAGUGCAGGGUGGUGAGUACCCCCAAAACACGCUGAGUGGCCGUUCCUGGACGGAAGAACAGAUAGAUGAACGAGUGAACGAUGCAGUGGUCUUAAAGGUGUGGCCUAAGGACUCCUGACCGUCCCUAGGAACCUUCCGGAAAGCUCUGGAUGUUGGAUGUCCUCCUCUCGUGACUGUGUACAUGUGUGAAGCCAGAUUUUCUUCACAGACUUUGCCCAAACAAAAUUACAGCAGACUGAGUGCAGGAGACAGGGAAAUCAAAGCCUUUUCUGUAAGAGAGAAAGCAAAAAUGGAGAGCAGUCCUUUCUUCUCUGUAUUUUUUGCUUUACAAACUCCUCGUGAUUAUCCCCCACAAUAUGUC
rnacentral:lncRNA from 1 species